CCUACGGGGGGCUGCAGUCGAGAAUCAUUCACAAUGGGGGAAACCCUGAUGGUGCGACGCCGCGUGGGGGAAUGAAGGUCUUCGGAUUGUAAACCCCUUUUAUGUGGGAGCAAAUUAAAAAGAUAGUACCAUAAGAGGAAUAGACGGCUAACUACGUUCCAGCAGCCGCGGUAAUACGUCGGUGGCAAGCGUUGUCCGGAGUUACUGGGGGUAAAGGGUGUGGAGCCGGGAAGACAAGUCAGAUGUGAAAUCGCGCGGCUCAACCGCGGAACUGCAUUUGAAACUGUUUUUCUUGAGUACCGGAGAGGUCAUCGGAAUGCCGGGUGUAGCGGUGAAAUGCGUAGAUAUAAGGAAGAACACCGGUGGCGAAGGCGGAUGACUGGACGGCAACUGACGGUGAGGCGCGAAAGCGUGGGGAGCAAACAGGAUUAGAUACCCGGGUAGUC
rnacentral:rRNA from 1 species